GACAGGAGAGACCAGGGCGGCUCAGGCGCGUGGUCGAGGCAGGCAGGGCACUGGGGAGAUGGGCGGGGCUCGGGACUCAGCACCCCUGGUCUGGGCACCUUGCCGGGCACUGGGCAGAGGACUCCCGAGGGGCGAAGAGGAGGCGACACCCAGAUGAAAGAUCUCUGAAGACAAAUUGGAUGAUGCAUAUGUGGAUUCUGUUUCACUUGGUGUUUAGCUUUUCCCCCCUCUUGCUGCAUAUUUAUCCUCUUUCAGGUUCCAAAGUCCGGUGGAGUAGAUCUUGUGUACCUCAGACUGUUCCAGUUUGUCAACAAAUUAGAAAUUCUUUUCUAUUUAUCAAAAAAAAAAAAGAAUCUCUUCUUGGAAAGAUAGAAAACAAGCUUAUACAAGUCAAAUAAUUUUUGAAAGAUAAAAAGAUUUAAUGUCUUUUUAGAAAUUAUUUUGCUGCUGUGUGAAUAGUUUUAAAUCUUUUUUCUAUUUUUAAACCAUAUUCUUUAAUCAGUUUUCGGAGUUUGUCUUUUAGAUCCUCCAAACUGAUGCUGAGUGCUGUGAGCCCUGUCUUUCCUGGCUCUCUGAUACUUAAGGUUCAUGAACAAAGGUUGAUUUUCUGAUAGAUUUAUCUAAAAUAUUUGGAAAAUCAAGGGGAAUUCUUAAAUUUUCAUCUAUCAUAUUUGCAAAUUAUCUUGUAAUCCCCAAUGACACAUACAAGCAAAGAUGUUUCUAGAAUAUGAACAAUUAAGUGUGAUAUUUAAUUCAAUAUAACUGACAGUAUUUUUUCAAUUUGUGUGCAAUUCUUCUGCACUGCUUUUAUGAACUAAAGCUUAGACCUUAAUGUUCUUAUUCUGAGGAAAAACGAGAAAACAGAAAGGAUUUUGUGGUUCUUUGCUUGAAGCUUGUGGAGUUUGUUAUUUAAGAUGCUGGGCCCAGAAGGAUCUUCACCGUCUGUUAGCACUGGUCCCCACUCACUACCUGGGGCGUGCGCGCCAGUGUGAAUCUUGGUGACGCGAAGUAAAUGUCCCUGUUUCAGCGCAGCUUUGCUGGCGAUCGCUCUACCAUGGCUCUGGUGCUGAGAACCCUGAUCACGUGGUGAGAGGCUGAAGCAGGCCAUUGCCUCCUGACAUGAGUUUCGGCACAAUCCGAGGAACUGAAAUUUCAUGCAAGUGCGGAAAUAUUCACCCCAGUGACAUACACACAACUUUCAGGCUCAUUCUGUUCAUUAAAUUUUUCCCCUAAGUCUGUUCAAAAUGAAGAUUGUUUACAUUUGAUGACCCAAAAUCAACCUGUAUUUGGUUGAAAACAGCCAAAUGGCUACCGUCAACAUGCCUGUGAAUUCGGUUCAGAAAGUAUAAAGCCUCAGUAUUUUCAGUAUUUGACACAGGCAAAAGUCGUCCUCUCUGCAGUACUCUAACUCAAGUGUACAAAUACUGAGCAGCACACGGUAACAAACCUUUCUGUCCAGUUUUUCAUAUGCAACAUUUCAGGGCCAUGGUUUUGCCCACGGCACGCUAUGUCCACUCAAUUCAGUAAAUCCUUUUCGGGUCACUUUGCUCCCCUCACGUCUCGCUGUGAAAUCCAGCGCAAGAGAGAGUGGGCAGCUGCACGGGGCAGGAAGUGGGGGGUGUCACACGGGCGCUAGGCUCGCCCUGGGGCUGCUGCCGCAGAAGGGACCCGGAUGCCGAUGCCGCGCCUCUGCCCACCGGCCAGCUCCUCCACUGCCCGGAGC
ensembl:lncRNA